GACGAACGCUGGCGGCGUGCUUAACACAUGCAGUCGAACGGAAAGGCCCUGCUUUUGUGGGGUGCUCGAGUGGCGAACGGGUGAGUAACACGUGAGUAACCUGCCCUUGACUUUGGGAUAACUUCAGGAAACUGGGGCUAAUACCGGAUAGGAGCUCCUGCUGCAUGGUGGGGGUUGGAAAGUUUCGGCGGUUGGGGAUGGACUCGCGGCUUAUCAGCUUGUUGGUGGGGUAGUGGCUUACCAAGGCUUUGACGGGUAGCCGGCCUGAGAGGGUGACCGGCCACAUUGGGACUGAGAUACGGCCCAGACUCCUACGGGAGGCAGCAGUGGGGAAUAUUGCACAAUGGGCGGAAGCCUGAUGCAGCAACGCCGCGUGCGGGAUGACGGCCUUCGGGUUGUAAACCGCUUUCGCCUGUGACGAAGCGUGAGUGACGGUAAUGGGUAAAGAAGCACCGGCUAACUACGUG
rnacentral:rRNA from 1 species